AGGGUUUGAUCCUGGCUCAGAACGAACGCUGGCGGCGUGCCUAACACAUGCAAGUCGAACGGUAACAGGGACUUCGGUCUGCUGACGAGUGGCGCACGGGUGAGUAACGCGUGGAUAUCUACCUAUUAGUGGGGGACAACUUGUGGAAACGCAAGCUAAUACCGCAUAAUCACUACGGUGGAAAGCAGGGGACCUUCGGGCCUUGUGCUGAUAGAUGAGUCCGCGUCUGAUUAGCUAGUUGGUAGGGUAAAGGCCUACCAAGGCGAUGAUCAGUAUCUGGUUUGAGAGGAUGAUCAGACACACUGGAACUGAGACACGGUCCAGACUUCUACGGAAGGCAGCAGUGGGGAAUAUUGCACAAUGGAGGAAACUCUGAUGCAGCGACGCCGCGUGUGGGAAGAAGGCUUUCGGGUUGUAAACCACUUUCAAUUGGGAAGAAGGGAUGAGAGUUAAUAACUUUCUGACUUGACGGUACCUUUAGAAGAAGCACCGGCUAAUUUCGUGCCAGCAGCCGCGGUAAUACGAAAGGUGCAAGCGUUGUUCGGAUUUACUGGGCGUAAAGCGAGUGUAGGUUGUUUAUUAAGUCGGAUGUGAAAUCCCGGGGCUCAACCUCGGAACUGCAUUCGAUACUGAUAGGCUAGAGUUCGGGAGGGGUAAGCGGAAUUCCGUGUGUAGCAGUGAAAUGCGUAGAUAUACGGAGGAACACCUGAGGCGAAGGCGGCUUACUGGACCGAUACUGACACUGAGACUCGAAAGCGUGGGUAGCAAACAGGAUUAGAUACCCUGGUAGUCCACGCCCUAAACGAUGUCAACUAGCCGUUGCGGGUAUCGACCCCUGCAGUGACGAAGCUAACGCGAUAAGUUGACCGCCUGGGGAGUACGGUCGCAAGAUUAAAACUCAAAGGAAUUGACGGGGGUCUGCUA
rnacentral:rRNA from 1 species